AGUGAACGCUGGCGGUAGGCCUAACACAUGCGAGUCGAACGGCAGCACAGUAAGAGCUUGCUCUUACGGGUGGCGAGUGGCGGACGGGUGAGGAAUACAUCGGAAUCUACUUUUUCGUGGGGGAUAACGUAGGGAAACUUACGCUAAUACCGCAUACGACCUACGGGGGAAAGCAGGGGAUCUUCGGACCUUGCGCGAUUGAAUGAGCCGAUGUCGGAUUAGCUAGUUGGCGGGGUAAAGGCCCACCAAGGCGACGAUCCGUAGCUGGUCUGAGAGGCUGAUCAGCCACACUGGAACUGAGACACGGUCCAGACUCCUACGGGAGGCAGCAGUGGGGAAUAUUGGACAAUGGGGGGAAGCCUGAUCCAGCCAUCCCGCGUGGGUGAAGAAGGCCUUCGGGUUGUAAAGACCUUUUGUUGGGAAAGAAAAGCAGCAGGUUAAUACCCCGCUGUUCUGACGGUAACCAAAGAAUAAGCACCGGCUAACUUCGUG
rnacentral:rRNA from 1 species